AAAAAAUACACCCCCACCUAGAACAUGUAUUUUCUUCCAAGACCCCUUACCUAGAGAAAAAAAAUAAAAGUUAGCUAGUUUUUUAAAGUAUACAAAAAUGUUGCAUCCUGUCAAAUAAAUGUAAAAUUUGUUGGUUUAUCUAUUUCAGUGCAUCCAAAAAGCCCUAAAUCCGCCUCUGGUCUCAAUGGCAAUCAUACCACAUCUUCUUUUUUAUACUAGCUAUGUUGCUAUUAAAAUAUAAAAUGAAACAUGUAACAAUGUUAUGGAGCAGCAGACGACAGAUGCAACAUGACGGCAAUAGCUCACAGUGACCGAAAAAAGGGGGUGCGAUUUUAAUUAUGGCCC
rnacentral:lncRNA from 1 species